UUUCCGUAGGUGAACCUGCGGAAGGAUCAUUAAUGUGUUUGGGCCUCACGGCUCUUCAUUCCGACGCUGUGCGCCUUCGGGCUGCACGCUGAGGGAGCAUAUAUCCACCCCUGUGCACACACACGGUGGCGAGCUGGGUAACGGCUCGCCGCUGAUCUUUACACACGUCUAAAAGUCAUUGUAUGUUUAUUUGAAAUAAAAACACAACUUUCAGCAACGGAUCUCUUGGCUCUCGCAUCGAUGAAGAAGCAGC
rnacentral:misc_RNA from 1 species